rnacentral:lncRNA from 1 species
AGUCGCCUGCCGCUUGACAAGCUCAGAAAGGAGUGGCCCUCGCUGCGCAGGGCUUAUCGUGUUGACAUCCAGAGUUUAAAACGUUCUACUGUGCAUGCUGUCUGUCCUAAAUCUGGUGAGACUCGGGGCUGCCUUUGAAUGUCGCAGGCUGAGAACGCUGCCUCUUGCUGCAACCUCUAAGAGACUUUUAGAAUAACCGGGUGACCUUAGUAAAUUACGGGAGUACUUUGUCCCAGAGUUACUAAUAGGGGAGAUGACCUGAUGAAUUCUAUAUUUUUAGCUCAUAACAUUUUUUAAAGUAAUAAAACGUUGAGAUUUUGUAGAGAGAAAAGCAAACAGCAAGUUAGUAGAUUGGUGUAUCAGGAAAAGAACAAGCCAUCCCAGAAUAAUGAGCAGUUGUGUCUGUGGACGUAAAGUUUGGGCUGUAUUUCUUCAGUGACUGACAUCUCAGAGAAGAAUGGAUGUCAGAAAUAUCCACCCAUCUCUGUAGAGAGGCUUGCUGAUGGAGACAAUUAAAAGCAAUGAUUGACAGAUUAGAAAUCCUUAGAACUAUCAAGAAGAAGUGAAGAAAGUAAAAAGACAAAGGGAAUAUGAGAGAAAUGGCAGUGGAGUCACAGUAUGGGAAGAAGGAGUCCACCUUGGUGGCCCUCUCCCUUUGUGUUCCCAACACAACGGAGAGAAUGCAGAACCGAAGCUCUAGAUUCUAGUCUGCCUUGAAGUGCUUGCAUGAGGGUGUACUCCAGUGGAAAGUGUUAUCCUUAUUGCAUUCAGGGUGGAAUUUCAUAAAAAAAAAAAAAAAAAUAUAUAUCCCUGGAGAUGAUGGUAAUGAACUCCAGGUAACCUCAGCAGUAACACCACUGGGAAAAGGCCACCAAACCCACCAAAUCAGGUUUCCUGAGGUUUCAUGA